rnacentral:rRNA from 1 species
UGGGGAAUAUUGCACAAUGGGCGCAAGCCUGAUGCAGCCAUGCCGCGUGUAUGAAGAAGGCCUUCGGGUUGUAAAGUACUUUCAGCGGGGAGGAAGGCGAUAAGGUUAAUAACCUUGUCGAUUGACGUUACCCGCAGAAGAAGCACCGGCUAACUCCGUGCCAGCAGCCGCGGUAAUACGGAGGGUGCAAGCGUUAAUCGGAAUUACUGGGCGUAAAGCGCACGCAGGCGGUCUGUCAAGUCGGAUGUGAAAUCCCCGGGCUCAACCUGGGUACUGCAUUCGAAACGGGCAGGCUAGAGUCUUGUAGAGGGGGGUAGAAUUCCAGGUGUAGCGGUGAACUGCGUAGAGAUCUGGAGGAAUACCGGUGGCGAAGGCGGCCCCCUGGACAAAGACUGACGCUCAGGUGCGAAAGCGUGGGGAGCAAACA